CCUGAGGUGUUCAUGCACUGAUCCUGGCCCUUGGAUUAAACCCGUGCAGUGCUGGAAGAAGAAGACUCUGUACUGCCUGCCACACCAGAACUGGAAGUUCCAUGGCCUUCCCUUCUUCCAAAGUACCUUCCCACGAGGUGGGGAUGGUGGUCACAUCUCCAACACUAGCGUGCUGUGGAAGAGACAUCAGCAUUCUCUGCAACAAAUUUGGAAACAGCCUAAAGAGACGUUUCUACUUCAAAGAGUUGUGCUGAGGAAGUGCACUGGCACUGCUGGGGACUCACCUGGGGCCCAAGGCUGAGGCUUCUCAUGUCCUUGGAGCUGCUAUCCUCCCGAGGAGUGUGCACACUGCAGCCAGUUCAGCCUCAGGUGUCUUCUCUGGUUUUGAAACGAAAUCUAAGUGGGAAAAGAAGAUUCAAGUUUUAUCCGAUUUAGUCUACAUAAUUUUAAGUAUCUAUUUGAGCUCAACACCAAGAAUCAUUUCCUUCUCUGUCCCAUCUGUGGUCUCCAAAGGAAAGGUCCCUGGGUUAGGAGACACUGGCUGGCAUCCUAAAGCCAGAGCUGGCCGACGGGUGUGUAUCCACUCUUCCUUCACCUCUUCCCCACCCCACACUUGUUUUUGUCUCACGCACACUUGCUCUCUCUGCCUCCCUCUCACUCUUUAGAUCUCACAAAGACUUUGGUCAAGGACUGACUGACUUUCCCUGGCUCUCUGUCAUCUCCCCAUAAUCAAAGGCAUUUCAUAACACACAAUCCAUGUGAAGGGACCUUUGAUGAAAAUUCAUUUAAAGAGGAGCUCACUAAUUACCAAUACUUACUGCUGAGCCUGGAAUCAUUCAUAUAUACCCCAGAGUUCAUUUGUUCCAGAUGCAGUACUAGAUAAGGAGACUCCUAUGAGCCAAAAACCUAACUCUGAAUAGACUGUGACUGUCAUAAUCAAACCCUGUGGCUGCCUCCUCCUUACUGGAGGGCAUAGAGGAAUGCAGUUUUUUGUUUGUUUAUUUGUUUUGAGACAGAGUCUCACUGCAAUGCCCAGGCUGGAGUACAGUGGUGUGAUCUUGGCUCACUGCAACCUCCACCUCCCGGGUUCAAGCAAUUCUCCUGCCUUAGCCUCCCGAGUAGCUGGGAUUACAGGCACGCACCAUCAUGCCCUGGCUAAUUUUUGUAUUUUGUGUAGAGACGGGGUUUCACCAUGUUGGCCAGGCUGGUCUUGAACUCCUGACCUUGGGUGAUCCACCCACCUCGGCCUCCCAAAGUGCUGAGAUUACAGGCAUGAGCUGCCAUGCUCAGCCAGGAAUGUGCUUUUAAUCAUUCCUUAGUGUUUCAUGUGGGGACUUGAUAACUCACGAUAAGGAUUCUAUCCUAAAAGACAAGCAAUACCUGUUGACCUGCUCUUAUGUCCCAGGCAGUUUGUAAAACUGUUUCAUCUAUUCUCUCAAUAUGUCACUUCAAAUAUUAUCAGGAAAGAAGUCAAACACGGCUGGAAAUGUGGGGGCAACAAAUACAUCAGUGAACACCCUGGUGGAUCCAGCCUCAUUCCACAUGUUUUCUUGUGCUUUCCUUAAGCACCAUCAAUUCCAGUGGGCUGGUUGCCAAUGCUCCAGCCAAUCUCCAUGUCUUCCCAUGGACACACUUUUUUUUUUUUGAGGCAGAUCUUUGCUCUUAUUGCCCAGGCUGGAGUGCAAUGAUGUGAUCUGGGCUCACUGCAACCUCUGCCUCCUGGGUUCAAGCAAUUCUCCUCUCUCAGCCUCCCGAGUAGCUGGGAUUACAGGCAAAUGCCACCACGCCUGGCUAAUUUUUAUAUUUUCAGUAACAAGGUUUCACCAUGUUGGCCAGGCUGUUCUCGAACUCCUGCCUUGGCCUCCAAAAGCGCUGGGAUUACCAACAUGAACCACUGACCCCAGCCUGGGCCACACUUUCAUUCUGGGAUUUGAUGUAGCACUCUGACACCUGAACUGGGUGCAUAAAGAGAAGGAAAUACAUCUUCACUUGGCCUGCCUGAAACUCAGAUCCCUGUAUCCCAGGGCUUACUCAGGAUUAUAGCAUUUGAUAUAAAACCCUGACCGUAGGCUUUUCUUCAACAGAGUCCCUUUUACUUAGUUGUUGACAGUCUGGACACACUUCUCCUGUGUGAUUGUGAUCUUUCCAGCUAUUUCUUAACUGGAGAAACAGAAUGGUUUUAUUUAUUUAUUUAUUUAUUUAUUUAUUUAUUUAUUGAGAUAGUCUCGCUCUGUUACCCAGGCUGGAGUGCAGUGGCGCGAUCUUAGCUCACUGCAACCUCUGCCUCCUGAGUUCAAGGAGUUCAAGCAAUUCUCUGCCACAGGGGCCCGCUACCAUACCUGGCUAAUUUUUGUAUUUUUAGUAGAGAUGGAGUCUCACCAUCUUGGCCAGUCUGGUCUUGAACUCCUGACCUCGUGAUCCACCUGCCUCAACCUCACAAAGUGCUGGGAUUACAGGCACGAGCCACCGCUCCCAGCUGGUUUUAUUUUUAUAUCCAUUAUUCCACUCAAAAUAUUCCAAAACGGGAUCAGGCAUUAAACUCUCCAGUGUGUAAAGCCCACAUAAAAACAUUUAGUAGAGGCCAGGCACAGUGGUUCACUCCUGUAACCCCAGCACUUUGGGAGGCCAAGGUGGGUGGAUCACUUGAGGCCAGGAGUUCAAGACCAGCCUGGCCAACAUGGCAAAACCCCAUCUCUACUAAAAAUACAAAAAUUAGCCAAGUGUGGCACAUGCCUGUAAUCCCAGCUACUUGGGAGGGUAGGGGAUGAGAAUGGCUUGAACCUGGGAGGUGGAGGUUGCAGUGAGCUGAGAUUGCAUCACUGCACUCCAGCCUGGGUGACAGAAUGAGACUCUGUCUCAAAACAAAACAGUAGAAAAGAAACAAAAACCAUGGGAUGAGAAAUGGGACUUUAUGGCAGCCCUGACCUCACUGUCCUCAAUAUUACCUAUUAAAGAACAAGCGUUCUGAGCAUUCUGUAAUAUUGGUGCCAGGUAUCAAUGACAACCUAUCAUGAUCAUGGUGACCAUAUUACCUAUAUUCACUAGAGCAUGCAAAUAUGAUUUAAUUUCUUCCUACCAGGAGAAAGGCCCAAUUUAACUUCCUUCCCUCAUCAGUGAAUACACUAGACCACAUGUUCCACGACAGGUAAAAGGCAGAGAUAGGGGUCUUACUUUCAGUUCAUUCUUAACAUGGUAUGCUUGGAGACUGCUUAGCCCAGCUUGUCUUUUUUCUUUGACUCCAAGGAAAUGAAAUGGAAAUAGAAGCCCGCCUGUAACCUAGACUCCAGACUGCUGAUUUCUUUGGCCAGUUGUUCUCUGGUUGGUAUGCCAGGGUAGGAGUUCUGCUUAAACAGUGCUUGAAGGGCAUCCUUUUGACUCGAGUUCAAAACAAUUCUUUGUGGAGAUUCUCUUGGGAGACAGCCUGGUUUAGAGAAAUGGGUCAAAGCCAUGGGAAGGAUUUGUUGUGGAUUCACAUCUGUGUUGCAGAUACCUGAUACCAGGUUGAAGGUGUUGAGUCCCAGUGGUCACUCUGUGUUUGUACUUUUUGGAUACACACUCCAUGAUUAACUGGGCACAGGGCAUUACACAGAUUAGAAAGGGUGAUAGCCUUCAUCCAGAGAUCCACACCAAAAACUGAAUCUCAUGCCAUUCAUAACAUUACACACAAACAACUCAGAAACCAGUUGAAAAAGGGGACAUUGAAUGAAACGUUUAGUUUCAAAAUGUGAAAACCAAAUUUAGACUUCCUGGGUUAAACAUACAUAGGGCAAGGGUUGAAAAACUACCUGUUGCACUCUAUGCUCACUACAUGAAUAACAGAAUCAGUCAUUCCCCAAACCUCAGCAUCACACAGUAUACCCAUGUAACAAAACUGCACAUGUACCCCCUGAAUCUUAAGAUAAAAAUAGAAAUUAUUUUUAAAAUUAUCAAAAAAAGAUAAAGAUGUUAUCUUCGAAGGGUGGUCAUUAGGAUGAACCAUGAUGUAGUAGGAGGGAGGCAUGUAGCUGAGUCCCAGUGUUUAUAUCUGAAGAGGAGAGUGAAUGGCCUGGCAUCCCCCAUGCAGAGACAAUGACCAGCAGGGUGUCAAGAUCUGUUGUAAUAUUUGCAGCAUUACUGAAGAUCCGUGUAGCAAACUGGUUCCCAGGGAACUCUUGGCAGGAAUCAGAAUGCAUCUAUGUCACUCCUUGUAAAAUUGAAAAGGAAACAAUAGGAACAACAAAAAAUCCACCAACAUUUCCUAGAAUUGAUGACACCAGACAUUUUCUGAGAGCUGUGUGGCAGCCUUCCUAGUGGAGAAAACAGUUUUUGUCCCACAUCUCCAUUCAUCUGGGUCACCGUGCAUCAUUCACAUGACAUUGCAGUGCUGUGAGAUACACAACAGAUACAGUCAGCUUUGUCCUGGGACUGGAUGUUAGAGAUGGUUAAGGAGUGGUCAGCCUCAGACCUGGAGCCUGAGUAGUGAUCAGGGAUCCCAUCCCUCUUGCUGUGGUUUCCAUCACCCUUAAGCCACAUCACACACCAAGGGGCUUCCCUGGCCAUGCUACCAUGCAGUGGUGUAGGUGCUAUGCUUACUGCUCAGUGUGCAGGUGAGCUUGGCUGAGACUCCCUGGCUGGGAGAGGGAACCUGAAAACAAUCUCAUUACAUCCUGGAUGAAGGAGAAGAGGGGACAAUCCCGUCAUGAGUGAGCCAGGGAUCAGGAUGCUGAGGGCCAUCUUGGCCUGUCCCAUGAAGGAGGAGGAUGAAGAGGAGGAGUAGGGUGUAUGCCACUGUCCAGAUACCCCAGUGCUCUGCCGAGGCAGCUAUGCUGCAGGCCUCUUAUCCACCCUCCAGACCGUGGAGAAACAGGGGCCCUUCAUGCAAAUCCUUAGCCAACCAAACCCUCGCUGGGUCUUUCCUGCUGCCCUGUGGCUGGGUGUCAUUUCUGGGAGGCGUGGGCCUAUGCUCAGCCUGGCUUGAGGCUCUGCAGGGGCCCAGGGAGGACUCAGCUGCUAGCCCAAUGAGUCCUGAGCGGAGGCCAGGAUCAGUGUCUGUUUCCUCAUUUCCCCAGCUGAGAGCCCCACAGGACCCCUCAGGGCAGGCCCACAGGCUAUCCUCUCUGUAUCUAGAGGAGGGGUGGUUUUCACAGAGGCUCCUGCUUCCACCUAGGCCAGGACCCCUGCCCACUCACUGCCUAAUGACAGAGUGAGAUUCUUCCUCAGGGCAGCCUCCUGAUGUCUCAGUCUUUAGUUUUCUAUGUAGGCCUCCUCAGUGGGAACAGGGUGCACAAUUCUCACUUUAUAAGGAGUUCUUAAGGGAAGGGUUAUCUCAUAUACAAAUUGCAGCUGAAAUAAGCAUACAUUAUGUACAAGCAGGGGUGAUUCAGCCCUGAAUCCAAUUGCCAGGGUACUCACGAAGCCAGGUUUCUCUCUCCCCACUUGAUUGCUCAAGAGAUCAACAUGUAGUGAGCAGUCUGGUGAGUGCUGGGGAGGAUAAGUUCACCUGAUUGAUAGAUCCACUGAAUUCUCUGUCAAGUGAGGAGAUCCCGAGAGUAUAAGGAGAAAGUACUGGAGAAUCAGAAGCCUUGGGGCUUUUCCUGAAGUGAGGGAUUAGAGAGAUUCACUAAAGGAAGGGGAUGUGAGUGACAACUUCCAAGAUCUGAAAAACUUCCCAUGGCUUUUAGGACAUAGAGAACUUGCUAAGUGAGGAGGUCAUAGGGGAGAAGGAGAUGGUAGGAAAGAGAGACUGGAGAAUCAAGAUGGGAAAUUGUGAAUCAGAGAUGAGGAAUGGGAGAGGGUGAGGAUGUUCCACACUUUAUCAAAGACUGGAGGAGGCACCAGUGGGGAGAUUGAACAGGAGUCAAAGGGGAGGUCGAGGUUUGGGGUGUGUCUACUUUCAUUUCUGGUUUGUUUCUUAAAGUGGAACCUCUGUCAGCAUCUCAGCUGUCCUCUCUAGCCAUCUUCCGGCCUGGACUGGGAAUUUUUUUUUUUUUUUUGAGAUGGAGUCUUGCUCCGUCACCCAGACUGGAGUGCAAUGGCACAAUCUCAGCUCACUGCAACCUCCAUCUCCCGGGUUCAAGCAAUUCUCCUGUCUCAGCCUCCUGAGUAGCUGGGACUACAGGCGCCUGCCACCACAGCUGGCUAGUUUUUGUAUUCUUAGUAGAGACAGGGUUUCACCUUGUUGGUAAGGCUGGUCUCAAACUCCUAACCUCAGGUGAUCCAGCCACCUCGGCUUCCCAAAGUGCUGGGAUUAUAGGCAUGAGCCAUGGUGCCCGGCCCUGGACUGGGAAAUUUUUGAGUCAAAAGUCUUUAGUUCUCUCUGCAAGAGAUUACUCUUUGGUUUCUGUCUUCUCAAGGCUUCCUUUCUUGUUUUCCAACAUUCUUAUGAAUUUGAGGAUAUUAAAAUAUGUAUGGGAAAAUUUGGGGGAAAGGACCCCUUAGAAAUGCAAAGUCAGGUCCUAUUCCAGACCCACGGAAUCAGAAUUCACACUUUACACGAUCUCAGAUGACAUGUGUGCACAGUAACAUCUGAAAAGCUCUGGUCUGACUCAGGCGUGAAAGCACUGGUGGGUGUGGGAGACAGAUUGUUUCUCAUGCCUCAGUCUAGUCUCCCUCCUGCAAACAUGCCCAGCAAGCUCCCUGCCUGCACUCUGUGUUGAGCAAGAGAUGCCAGGCAUCCUGCACUUGAGGCUUCCCACUGCACACGGAGGCAUCUCCCCUGAGCUCAUAGAUCCAUAGAGCUUCAAUAACAAGAUGAUCCUCAUAUUUUUAUUGAUAUUAAUAAGCAAUUAGAAUUAGCUAAAAAUCAAUAUGUAUUAGUACCUAUGACAAAAAUAAUAUUGUGGCCGGGCACAAUGGCUCACACCUGUAACCUCAGCAUUUUGGGAGGCCGAGGCGGGGAGAUCGCCUGAGCUCAGGAGUUCGAGACCACCCAGGGAAACAGGGUGAAACCCUGUCUCUACUAAAAUACAAAAAAUUAUUGAGAGGCCAAGGUGGGCGGAUCACCUGAGGUCAGGAAUUCGAGACCAGCCUGGCCAACAUGGUGAAACCCUGUCUCUACUAAAAAUACAAAAAUUAACUGGGCAUGGUGGCAGGCACUUGUAAUUCCAGCUACUCAGAAGGCUGAGACAGGAGAAUCGCUUGAACCCAUAGGUGGAGGUUGCAUAAGCUGAGAUUGCGUCAUUGCACUCCAGCCUGGGGGACAAGAGCGAGACUUCAUCUCAAAAAAAAAAAAAAAUUAGCCAGGCGUGGUGGCACGUGUUUGUAGUCCCAGCUACUGGGGAGACUGAGGCACAAAAAUCGCUUGAGCCCUGGAGGCAGAUGUCGCGGUGAACUGAGAUUGUGCUACUGCACUCCAGCCUGGGCUACACAGUGAGACUCCGUCUCAAAAUAUAUAUAUAUAUAUAUAUAUAUAUUAUUAUGCAGUCAUUAUAUACUUAUAAUGUCUUCACGACCAGGGAAAUUAAAUUAACCUAAAAUGACACUAGUGGUAUAUAAAAUAUAGAAAGAUAAACACAAAAAUAAUCAUAAUUGUGGAAAUACUGGGGGCAUACAUGAAAGAAAUGCAUGCAAAUUCAAAAUAUAGGUAUAUUGAUUUGUCUUGGUGUAUUAGCUUCCUAGGCCUGAAAUCACAUGGACCAUAAACUGGGAGGGGUUAAAACAACAGAAAUGUCGCAGUUCUCAGAGCUAGUAGUGCAAAAUCCAUAGGCAGGGCCAGGUCCCCUCUGACGCUUCUAGGGGAAACCUGUCCUUCUUCCAGGCUCCUGGCGGUUUCUCAUUUCUUUCCUGAUGCUCCUCUUUGCCAUCCUUCCUCUACCCAGGAGGAUGGCCUUGUGUCAACUCAGUCCAUGCAUGUGAACGAAACACCUCCACGCACCACAUUAAGCACAGCUCCCUGAGUGAUCCAUAAUCACCAACCUCCAGGGCACUGACAGUCACUCUGUGUCCUCCCAGCUUUUGGAGAAACUUUUGGACGAGUCAUCUCCAAAUGAAGAAGACAUUGUCAAUAUGUCAUCAGCCUCAGGGGAGACUGGUAUGUACCUUGAAAUAACUCACUGAGACACAAACAUUCUGACUUCUUGUCCUCCAUCUCGGAGAAGAUAUGGAAGAUAUGAAGGAUGGGGACAAAGAGGAAGAGGAAAUGUGAUGGUGGAGUGGGUAACAUAAAAAAGGGAAGGCAAAUAAGUGUAUGUGUUUUCAGUGGCUUCUCACUUUCUUUUGGCCCAUCAAGGAGACCAACACAUCUGAGAGUGCUGAUAGGCUGCUCUUAGCUGAUAGGGACCACACUUUUGCUUUGAAAACAACCCCCAAAAUCCCUGCAGGCAAAUGAAGGAUGUCCUGAGAACAUCCUCCCAGGGAGUAGAUACCCAUUCUGUAGAAGCUCUAAGCCUGCUGGGCUAAGCCCUCCACAGGCCACUUUAAUGAGGAGGAGAGGCUGUAGAUGGUGGUAGGACCACCAUGUUGCAUGACCUUUCUGUGUGCCCAUCUUUUGACUCUGUCUCAAAAAAAAAAAAAAGUUGUGUGUGUUGCUUUGAAACACAAGUGCAGAUGUUUAUCAGCAGCCUUUGCCUUUGUGGGAGUUGUAAACUAAAAAUGAAAUUAUAACCCCCCACUGACUGAACAGGCCCUCCCUUGGUCAAAGAGACCCCAGAAAAACCUUAAAACUGAGUUUCUGGCCAUGAUGAGAUGGGAGGAGGUUCAGACACAUCUCAUUAUACUGCCUCAUGUUUAUGGUUUAGACACAACUGCCCAGCAUUACUGUGAAAUUAGAGGUCGUAAGACUGAUAUAAUGGACUCUUUGUGGCAAUGAGAUACCGAAUUAUAAACAGGACUGAAGACCACAACAGGUAAGGGUUAAGUCACACACCCUAAACUUAAAGAAUAAACUUGUGUUCUAACUGCCACAAGUUAAUUUUUCUCUAGCAGCUAAACAAGCACUGGCCCUCAAGAUAAGCAGUAUUAAAAUAAUUGUAGCUCAACACCAGAUACUGACUAACCUCGAACCCCUGUUCCACAAACCAUAACUGCAGCUUUGAUUGGACAAGAGACUGACUUCAGUAACUUUCUCCUGAUAGGAAGACCACCUACAGUUUGUCAAGCUCCUGUAGGGCCAACAUAACCAUGGCAACACUGAGUAGUCUGUGAAUGGUUGCAGGCCCCUUGCUGGUCUGUGAGAAGUCUAAUUUCAAGUACAAGGAGAAAUGAAGCCAGCAUCUAAUGGAGAAGAAAUGUCACCUACACUAACAUACAAUACAAAUAUUGAUGAAGACAAAACUGUUGCCCUCCUACCAAAUGGAAAUUAAUCACUGGAUACAUACAGCUAUGAAAAAACUGGACAUCAAGAUUGUCCAUCUCUACCUCUGUGCCAAACUGUAGACUUUCAUUAAUAAGAAUGUAUCAAUGUUCAGUCAUUGUAACAUUUACCACACUCAGCCUGGAGGAAUGCACAGAGCAGGGGCUACAACCCAUAUUUGACAGCUCAGGAAAGUGAAAUGGAGAGAUUUUAAGUGCUCUGCCCAGAGUCACAGCACUGAUGAGUGAUGGAUCUGGCAUAAGAAGG